GGGGUUGUGGCUCAGCAGUAGAGCGCUCACCUAGAGUGUGGGAAGCCCUGGGUUCAAUCCUCAGCACCA
rfam:Ictidomys tridecemlineatus contig100014, whole genome shotgun sequence.